rnacentral:rRNA from 1 species
AGAGUUUGAUCCUGGCUCAGGACGAACGCUGGCGGCGUGCUUAACACAUGCAAGUCGAACGGUGAAGCGCCUUCCUUUUUGGUGGGUGUGGAUGAGUGGCGAACGGGUGAGUAACACGUGAGUAACCUGCCCCCUUCUUCUGGAUAACCGCAUGAAAGUGUGGCUAAUACGGGAUAUUCUGUGCCUGCUGCAUGGUGGGUGUGGGAAAGAUUGCGCUUUUUUGGUGUUUUUGGUGGGGGAUGGGCUCGCGGCCUAUCAGCUUGUUGGUGGGGUGAUGGCCUACCAAGGCGGUGACGGGUAGCCGGCCUGAGAGGGUGGACGGUCACACUGGGACUGAGACACGGCCCAGACUCCUACGGGAGGCAGCAGUGGGGAAUAUUGCACAAUGGGCGCAAGCCUGAUGCAGCGACGCCGCGUGAGGGAUGGAGGCCUUCGGGUUGUGAACCUCUUUCGCCAGUGAAGCAGGCCUGCUCCUUUUUUGUGGGUGGGUUGACGGUAGCUGGAUAAGAAGCGCCGGCUAACUACGUGCCAGCAGCCGCGGUAAUACGUAGGGCGCGAGCGUUGUCCGGAAUUAUUGGGCGUAAAGAGCUCGUAGGCGGCUGGUCGCGUCUGUCGUGAAAUCCUCUGGCUUAACUGGGGGCUUGCGGUGGGUACGGGCCGGCUUGAGUGCGGUAGGGGAGACUGGAACUCCUGGUGUAGCGGUGGAAUGCGCAGAUAUCAGGAAGAACACCGGUGGCGAAGGCGGGUCUCUGGGCCGUUACUGACGCUGAGGAGCGAAAGCGUGGGGAGCGAACAGGAUUAGAUACCCUGGUAGUCCACGCCGUAAACGUUGGGCACUAGGUGUGGGGGGCCUUUUCCGGGUUUUCCGCGCCGUAGCUAACGCAUUAAGUGCCCCGCCUGGGGAGUACGGCCGCAAGGCUAAAACUCAAAGGAAUUGACGGGGGCCCGCACAAGCGGCGGAGCAUGCGGAUUAAUUCGAUGCAACGCGAAGAACCUUACCAAGGCUUGACAUGUGCCGGUCGGCUCCGGAGACGGGGUUUCCUCCUUGUGGGGCCGGUUCACAGGUGGUGCAUGGUUGUCGUCAGCUCGUGUCGUGAGAUGUUGGGUUAAGUCCCGCAACGAGCGCAACCCUUGUCUCGUGUUGCCAGCACGUUGUGGUGGGGACUCGCGGGAGACUGCCGGGGUCAACUCGGAGGAAGGUGGGGAUGACGUCAAAUCAUCAUGCCCCUUAUGUCUUGGGCUUCACGCAUGCUACAAUGGCCGGUACAGAGGGCUGCGAUACCGUGAGGUGGAGCGAAUCCCUUAAAGCCGGUCUCAGUUCGGAUCGGUGUCUGCAACUCGACACCGUGAAGUUGGAGUCGCUAGUAAUCGCAGAUCAGCAACGCUGCGGUGAAUACGUUCUCGGGCCUUGUACACACCGCCCGUCAAG